rnacentral:rRNA from 1 species
UUGAAAGGGAAACCAUUGAAGUCCGUCCUACCCACGGGAAAUCCACCUUUUGAGCUCCGUCUCCUGGGUUUUGAAGAGUUUCCAAGCCUUCCGAUUCCCGGGAUUGGGAUCUCUUGGCGUACUUUUUCCUACGGUUAGUCCACCUCGGUUUUGAAUGUCCUAAAAUGACUGGAGGAAUGUAGCUUCGAUCUCGUAUUGAAGUGUUAUAGCCUUUGGUAGAUGUGAUGUUUGAGACCGAGGAUUGCAACGGAUACUCUUCAGGGCUAUUCGUCUGAUCUCUGAUACGUUGCCUUGAUGUUGAAAGCUUGCUUAUGAUGUUAGGGUAUUACGGUCAAAAGGUGAGAACGAAUUACAUUCGUUAAGGAUGUUGACGUA